GUAACACGUAGGUAACCUGCCCAUGUGCCCGGGAUAACUUCUGGAAACGGAUGCUAAAACCGGAUAGGUAGCAGACAAGCAUUUGACUGCUAUUAAAGUGGCUAAGGCCAUGAACAUGGAUGGACCUGAGGUGCAUUAGCUAGUUGGUGAGGUAACGGCCCACCAAGGCGACGAUGCAUAGCCGGCCUGAGAGGGCGGACGGCCACAUUGGGACUGAGACACGGCCCAAACUCCUACGGGAGGCAGCAUG
rnacentral:rRNA from 1 species